GUCCUCCUAAUCGAGCGCACGGAUUCGGUCGGGUCUUUCCUUCUGGGGAGCCCGAUGCCCUUCACUGGGUGUCGUGGGGAACCAGGACUUUUACCUUGAAAAAAUUAGAGUGUUCAAAGCAGGCCUUUGCUCGAAUACAUUAGCAUGGAAUAAUAGAAUAGGACAUCGGUUCUAUUUUGUUGGUUUCUAGGACCGCUGUAAUGAUUAAUAGGGAUAGUCGGGGGCGUCAGUAUUCAAUUGUCAGAGGUGAAAUUCUUGGAUUUAUUGAAGACUAACUACUGCGAAAGCAUUCGCCAAGGAUGUUUUCAUUAAUCAGUGAACGAAAGUUAGGGGAUCGAAGACGAUCAGAUACCGUCGUAGUCUUAACCAUAAACUAUGCCGACUAGGGAUCGGACGGUGGUUUUUUUAUGCCCCGUUCGGCACCUUAC
rnacentral:rRNA from 1 species